rnacentral:lncRNA from 1 species
UAACUGUAGUGAAUACUGUGUCACCAAUUCUGAAAUCAAUUUAAUGUUUAAUGCAAAUCCAUUACAUGGUGCUAUUAUAGGCUGGCAAAAUGAUUUACAAAAAUGUGACAACUUGGGCUCAAUUCACUCUGCUUUCCAACAAUGUAAAUGCAUAGCAGUGUUUAUCUGCAUGAGAACUAUGCACUAAUAUAAAUCUGAAAAGAAGAAAUAUAUCAACUUUGGUAUCUAGUUUCCGUUUACUUCAAUCCUUGCCUUUUUGGUCAUUAUUAUAAAUGCCAGCUUUAGGACAGAAAGAAAUAUUAAGAAAACCAGCAUAAUACCUGAUAUAUUAAAAAUGUAGUGCCUGUGAAAUCUGUAUUAUAUUGCUCUUCUGAAGUAAGAUUUUUCUACACCAGUAGCCUUCGCUGUCUGUCAGAACCUUCUGAUAUAGGUGAUGUAAAAUAACCGUACAAUAUUAAUGCAUGCUAUUCCAUAAUGCUUAGUGAGCUGUAUGAAUAUUACUCAAAGUUAUGUUAGUCUCUUGUGCCUCUAGUAUCCUUGUAUUGACUCUCUUAGUUACCAUUUUAGUUUUACUGUGUUCUGUUAAAAUUUUCAGAAGUCUUGACAUGAUUGCCAUCCAUACCAUAAAAGUAAUGCCUGAUCCUGAGACACCAUAGGCUGAAGUUAUAGUAGGACCUCCUUAUCCAUGGGAUCAGCAUCCACUGAUUCUCUUAUCCACUCUCUGAAAAUAUUAAAAAUACUUAAGAUAAAAAUCCCCAAUAGAUAUAUACCAGAACUGGCCACCAGAGAGACCCAGAGGCCAUGCUAUUUAUAAUAUUUGCUAUUCUAAUAGUGUUUGCUAUAAUCCACAUUUUCAGCAUCUAUGGGAGUGGGAACUGAUUUCCUGUGGAUGAUGGGGGCCAACUGCAAUAGGUUUCUCAAGCUUCAGCCUGCAUGAUGGCAAUAGAGGCACCAUGAUUUCACUUCUCUUUAUCUUGUUUGAACUAAAAUUUCAUAUGUAUACACAAGUAUGUCAGUUUCUGUGGAUAAACUACCACUGAAUGCAAGCCUUCCAUAUUCUUCCAUGACUAAGAGAAAGUCAGUUUUAAUUUGAAUAGGUGAUGAUAGGAAUUUGUCAAUCACCAGCUUAACACUUUAGUGCUUUUUUCUCAUUUGACAUAUGAAAGGUUAAUAUAGGAAACAGCAUGCAAAUCACAGAUUUAAUUGGGGGAAAGAGGGUCAGGAAAGACCAGGCAUUAAAUCUAGAGCCCAGUGGCUAACAGAAAUCUAUCCAGAUACAUAUGCUGAGUUAAUGAUAAUGAUUAUCAUGAGGAAUCAUUAGUUAAUUACAGUUGUAUUCUUUUAAAACAAAUUCAUGAAGCACUCACAGAAGGCAAGCAUUCACGUGUACAGUCUAGAACUACUGACUGAUUUAA